rnacentral:rRNA from 1 species
AUACGUAGGGGGCGAGCGUUGUCCGGAAUGAUUGGGCGUAAAGGGCGCGUAGGCGGCGCGGUAAGUCUGGAGUGAAAGUCCUGCUUUCAAGGUGGGAAUUGCUUUGGAUACUGCCGCGCUUGAGUGCAGGAGAGGUUAUCGGAAUUCCCGGUGUAGCGGUGAAAUGCGUAGAGAUCGGGAGGAACACCAGUGGCGAAGGCGGGUAACUGGACUGCAACUGACGCUGAGGCACGAAAGUGUGGGGAGCAAACAGGAUUAGAUACCCUGGUAGUCCACACUGUAAACGAUGAAUGCUAGGUGUAAGAGGUAUCGACCCCUUUUGUGCCGGAGUCAACACAAUAAGCAUUCCGCCUGGGGAGUACGGCCGCAAGGUUGAAACUCAAAUGAAUUGACGGGG